CCUACGGGAGGCAGCAGUGAGGAAUAUUGGUCAAUGGCCGUAAGGCUGAACCAGCCAAGUCGCGUGAAGGACGAAGGUCCUAUGGAUUGUAAACCUCUUUUAUAGGGGAAUAAAGGUACCCACGUGUGGACAUUUGCAUGUACCCUAUGAAUAAGCAUCGGCUAACUCCGUGCCAGCAGCCGCGGUAAUACGGAGGAUGCGAGCGUUAUCCGGAUUUAUUGGGUUUAAAGGGUGCGUAGGAGGACAGUAAAGUCAGCGGGAAAAGUUCGGGGCUCAACGAAGGACAGCCGUUGAAACUGGGAGGCUUGAGGGGGUGAGAGGUAGGCGGAAUGCGUGGUGUAGCGGGGAAAUGCAUAGAUAUCACGCAGAACUCCGAUUGCGAAGGCAGCAUACCGGGGCCCGACUGACGCUGAGGCACGAAAGCGUGGGUAUCGAACAGGAUUAGAUACCCGAGUAGUC
rnacentral:rRNA from 1 species